CAUAGAAUUAGGUGGCAAGCAAAGAAGUUCAGGCUCAAUAAAGAUCCAUUAACUAAUAUAGCACAAAAACAUUUGUAAAGUAUAUAGGGUAGUAAAACAAUAUGAAACUAAUUAAUAUUUUGCAUGAAACCAGACACUGAAUAAAGUCAUAAAGAUGACUACUAACAUAUUUUCCAAACUAUAAGAAUCACAAGUCUUCCAUCUCAUGUAGUCCAUGAUAAGUUGAAAUGAAAAUGCACAUUUAUAGAAGCUGAUCAAAUUUAAAAAAAAAAAAUCCAUUGAUCAUUGGCAGCAUCACCAAGCUUCUGUUCAGGUGUUGCUGGUCUGUGUCUGUGAUCUUCUCUUAUGCAUCUUCCUUGAAAUGUUUUUUCAUUUACUUAUUUAAUUUUUUAAACACCAAUUGAAAAAGGGUGCAAAGAGCUACAAGCAAGAAGCCAAUUUUCUCAGAAAGAUAAAUAAACAGUUUAAUGAUUACAAAAAAUUGUAGUAGCCAUGCUAUCACCACUACAAGUGCACAUCCAACUGGCUGAGAUAUCUAAAA